GAUGGCAGCGUGGAACCAAGGUCUACAGUGGCUGCUGAGGUCAGACUUGAAGAAAUGACUCACAUGCAAGGCUGAUCUACAUAAGUAGCCUGUGCUAAGACUGCCAUCUGGUAGAACAAUCUACAUCACACGACUCCACGUUUCCUGUUACCCAAGGUAAGUACAUUUCAAGCAUGAGGGAAAACUUUAUCAAGUUUCUCUAAGUCCCUUUACUUCGACACUACAUCUCCAUGCUCUGCAGGUGCAGCUUCGAUGGACCAUGGCCAUAUUGCCCCACUACUAUCAAUCACACUGAGAUGUAGUCCACAGCAUUCAACAAGCCACCACUCAUGGGAUAGAGGAUAGGCAAAAGGAACAACUAAGACAGUAGAGGAGCCCAGCACUCCGAACCCCUAAUCAUGCCUUCGGUGGAUUCCUUUGGUAAAGUUUUCCUUUGUGGGUUUCUUUCAGCACUUGACCCAUAGCCCAUGGAAUGUGUCAGCUCUAAUUGCCUGUGUGGAUUGGCACAAGUCGUGCCUCAAAAUUGGAAUGUUGUCACAUAUAACAUAGCCUUUCAGAGGGAUAAAUGUGGAAAAUGUUUUACCCAUGAAUUCCUUAGAAGCAAUUGUGCUCUAUCACGUGAAAGGCUGAAGACCUGGACAGAACCUAAUGACUAUAUCCCCAAGAUCCCCAAGGUUCAGUGGCUUUCAGGAUGUUGCUCUCCCUGACUCCAUGGACAUCACAGAAUGACAGUUGUCCACUGGAGUAUUCUUCACCCAGGCAGC
rnacentral:lncRNA from 1 species